rnacentral:lncRNA from 13 species
UUUUUUACACACAGAGCUGACAACCUUUACUUUUUCCAACUAGAAAACCAGUUUUUCCAACACUUUUUAAAAAACAAAUUAUCCUUUUAUCAUACGCUGAAAGACCUACCCACAACAAGCCCACUUCUGCGUUUGACUCUGUUCACUGACCUUUGCUUACUUCCUAAACGGAUUCUUUCGGUAACUUUUAGUGAAGAGGCGGCUUUAAUAAAUACUUUCUCCAGACAUCUCCACAACCUUUGUGUGGGUCAGGGUGAGAGGUGCCGCCACGAUGUAAACAGAACAGCCGAGUCCUCCUGGUAGGCGCCAGGUGCGAUCUCCACAAACGGCGUCUGUGGAAAGCACGGAUUCAGAGGCGCUCCCUCAAAAUGUAUCCGUGUCUCCCGCAGAGCACACAGGCCCCAGGGCCUGCUGGACAACGCUAGUUCCCGCGUUUGCACGCCACUUCCUGGGCUUGGGGGUGGUACACCAGAGGCUGCCCGCAGCAGGAAGACCACGCAGAGGCCAGGGCCUCUUGUUCCACAUGGCAGAGACCCCAGAAGGAGCCAGGCGGCAGCAUCAGAGCCUGGACCCUGGCAGGGCACACCAGGGGCACAGCAGCUGCAGGUCAUUGGCAAGGCCAGAAGACGUGAUCUGGAAUGAUGCUUCCAUGGAAAGGCUUUGGUAA